UGGGGAAUAUUGCACAAUGGAGGGAACUCUGAUGCAGCGACGCCGCGUGAGUGAUGAAGGACUUCGUUUCGUAAAACUCUGUUCUAUGGGAAGAAAAGGACUGUACCAUAGGAGAAAGCUCCGGCUAAAUACGUGCCAGCAGCCGCGGUAAUACGUAUGGAGCGAGCGUUGUCCGGAAUUAUUGGGCGUAAAGGGUGCGCAGGCGGCUUUACAAGUUGGAUGUGAAAUAUUGUGGCUCAACCACAAACGUGCAUCCAAAACUGCAAAGCUUGAGUUGAGGAGAAGUAAGUAGAAUUCCUGGUGUAGCGGUGGAAUGCGUAGAUAUCAGGAGGAAUACCGGUGGCGAAGGCGACUUACUGGACUUAAACUGACGCUCAGGCACGAAAGCGUGGGGAGCAAACAGG
rnacentral:rRNA from 1 species